rnacentral:lncRNA from 1 species
CAAAUAAGGGCUAAGUUUGGCACAGGUUUGUCCAUGACGUUGAAAAGACGAAAUUUGCACACUUCAAAGCUUUCGUUAAUAUCUCUCCACGCUAACGCGAUUAAAAGGCGUUAACACACAGUGCAAGCACUAAAAAUCUAGUAUAAAACUGUAAAAAACCACAUCCACUGAGAGAACUAACCUCGAAUACAGAUGCGUCGACAACCAAAACAAAGAGCCGCCAUUUUUGGGCCCUAAGCCCUCCAUUGGGGUCAGUGGCCAUACUCUCCUAAUGUAGGUACUCUAGAUUAUUGGAAUGAUAUUUGAUGAUAUGUUAUAGUAAUUUUUGUUGUAUCUGUGCAGGAGGUGGCGGAACGAGGGUUGGGCUGGACCGGGGCCGGGGGGCCAGCUGAACCAUGGAGAAAGAGUCCGGCGACGCCUCCAAGUCGCCUGCCGACGCCGCCGCCGCUGCUGCCUGCCUCGCCAACGCUGGAGCCUUGUUCAGUGGGUUGCAGCAGUAUGAUCCACGACUGCUUCACGCAGCCAGUUCAAUGAUGAGUGGUCAACGAAUGGGAUCCUCUCACUCGCCUCUCAACGCGAUGGGCCUCAACUCAGCUGCCAGUGCCACUUGGUGGUCGAUGGCUUCUCACCUUGCAGCCCAAGAUUAUUUGGCGCGGCUUCAAGCCUCUGGACUUUCCUUUCCUGGCAUGGCGGGCGGUCCUGAUGGUGUUCUUCCUCCUAGUUUUCCAAUUUUAUCACAGCAACAUACGGGUAGGCGAAGUAUGAAAAUUUUUUGAAAAUUCUUUUUACUUUUAAUGUCAAAUAUCUGCAGCCCUUUGCCUGUGAAUGAUUCUUAGUAACGGAAGUUAAC